AGACUGGAAGUUGGGAUAUGAGUAGGAGGAAGUGUCAUGAGAUGGAUAAUUAUGUGGCGCAUGCUGAUGAAGUUCUUGCGAGUAGGAUUGAUGGUGGUACGGCUGAGAAUAUGUAUCAUUCUCUGAUCUGCUGGCUGGAGGUGGUGGAUGAAAAUCAUGGGAAGCAUAACCAGCAGAAGGGUAAGAAGGAGGUGGUGGCAGGAUGCCUGUAGAAUGGUGGUUGU
rnacentral:misc_RNA from 1 species